UAGGGAAUCUUCCACAAUGGACGAAAGUCUGAUGGAGCAACGCCGCGUGAGUGAAGAAGGGUUUCGGCUCGUAAAACACUGUUGUAAGAGAAGAAUGACAUUGAGAGUAACUGUUCAAUGUGUGACGGUAUCUUACCAGAAAGGAACGGCUAAAUACGUGCCAC
rnacentral:rRNA from 1 species